UACGUAGGGUGCGAGCGUUAAUCGGAAUUACUGGGCGUAAAGCGUGCGCAGGCGGUUUUGUAAGCCAGAUGUGAAAGCCCCGGGCUCAACCUGGGAAUGGCAUUUGGGACUGCAAGGCUUGAGUGCGGCAGAGGAGACUGGAAUUCCUGGUGUAGAGGUGAAAUUCGUAGAUAUCAAGCGGAACACCGGUGGCGAAGGCGGCCUUCUGGACAGUGACUGACGCUGAGACGCGAAAGCGUGGGGAGCAAACAGG
rnacentral:rRNA from 1 species